GAUGAACGCUGGCGGCGUGCUUAACACAUGCAAGUCGAGCGAACAGACGAGGCGCUUGCUCCUCUGACGUUAGCGGCGGAAGGGAGAGAAACACGUGGAUAACCUACUUAUAAGACUGGGAUAACUUCGGGAAACCGGAGCUAAUACGGGAUAAUAUAUUGAACCGCAUGGUUCAAUAGUGAAAGACGGUUUUGCUGUCACUUAUAGAUGGAUCCGCGCCGGAUUAGCUAGUUGGUAAGGUAACGGCUUACCAAGGCAACGAUGCGUAGCCGACCUGAGAGGGUGAUCGGCCACACUGGAACUGAGACACGGUCCAGACUCCUACGGGAGGCAGCAGUAGGGAAUCUUCCGCAAUGGGCGAAAGCCUGACGCAGCAACGCCGCGUGAGUGAUGAAGGUCUUCGGGUCGUAAACCUCUGUUGUUAGGGAAGAACAGGUGUGUAAGUAAAUAUGCACGUAUUGACGGUACCUGAUCAAAAAGCAACGGCUAACUACGUG
rnacentral:rRNA from 1 species